GAGCAGAUGAUGAACAAAUAGAUUUUAAAAGAUGCUGAUCAUGAGUAUCCAUGAGGCUUCAAUAAUCGAGCUUUUUAAAACUGAUGCUCA